AAGGUUACUGUGUAUUAGACAGGGCUGAACUAGUGUGCUGAACAAAAAGAAUUGAGACAAAUUGUAUUUACUUAGCCGCUUCUGGGAGCCACUCCAGCCUUUCCCCUCCCCUCCACCUCUUGGGUAAUCUGACCUGAAGCAUAGUCUGGGAUCAGAGUUAGCCAGAAAUGCCUCCUCCUGCCCCAGCCUUAGAGAGCUCCCAUCUCAAAGGAAUCAUUGAUCCUGAAGGCUUCAAGCCCAAGGAUGCACCAAGACCCCCAACCUACAUUUCCCAGCUCCCCUGGAGCCAGCUGAUCCUCUAACUGCUGGAGGUCAGUCUGGGCUGCCAAUACUGUCCCCUAGACAAAGGUGGAGUCCCCCAAACUGCCCCAAGACCAAAUCCCUCACUCAACCUGCUGAGGUGUGGAUGGGGAAACGGAGGCAAAACUUAGGCGCCCAAUGCAUUCAGCCUGCUGUGUAGCAGUGCCGUUGACUGCCCUGGUGUUCAGACAGAAAAGCACACAAGGUUUGCCCAUGAGAACUGGGGAGCAGAUGGCCAAGCAGAUAGGUUAUGUCUGUUUUCUGAGUGAUGAAGUCAGGAAGCCCUGUGGCUCUGGAGGCCACUUGUGGUUCAUUCUUUUCCCAUAUCCUUGGCUUUUAGAAAUGGUUACCUUCAGGACAGCGCAGCUGCAUUUUUCAGAGCACUGUUGCUAACCUUUCUUUUCUGGCUUGUGUUUGCCUGGGACAGUUUGGAAUUGGAAGGCCUAUUCUCAUAGAAAACCAAAAAUGAUGUUCAUUCAUUCAUUUAACAUACAGCAAUAUACGCUGGCUGCUGGGGGGACAACCAAAAGCAAGACAUGCCCAGGGUUUGCUGUGGCUCCAGAUCUACUCCCUGUAGGAGUUCAAGGAUCACACAAAAUGUAGUAACCAGGGUUGUGAAUCUGAGUACACCCUGGCAAGGCUUCUCUUCAGACUGAAGCAGCAAUUCUGCCACUACCAGCGGCAACCAGGACGUCUGUUCUUUGUGGGGGCCAGAUCAGAAGAGAGAGGCCCCUGUGACAUCUGGGGUGCGUGGUCACAGCUCUGUCCAACUCAAGGACGUUUAUCGGCCUCUCUUAGACCCCCGAGUGAGACAAAUGCAGAAAUGACCCAUUCCCUGCCCACCAGGAACUCGAGGUGAUUGGGGAGACAGACACAGGAAAAUGAACUUAAUCAAGAGAGACCGUGAUAAGUGCUGAGAAGGGCGUGAGGGAGGAAGAGAUGAAUUUUCCCUGGAGGAAUCCUAGAAAGCAUUGUCAUAUUUCCAUCUCCAUUAGCUCACUUUUAAACAACUAGGGUGCUGGAAGAACCUUUGUCUGAGGGUAGUUCAUAGCUGGAAAUACCUGGAAUAUUUUCCAGAGUCUCCAAACUGUCAUCUCCCCCCAAAGAUACACAUCCAAGCUCACAAAUAGGAGUAACAAUUAUAGGUGGUAGGGUUGUAUACAGGAAGCCCUGGCUGUCUGCAUAUAGCUCAGAAUUACCCCAGGACCAUUGUCCCAAAGUCUAAAGUCUUUACAGGUAGGCAAAAUUUGUUUUCAAUGCCUGUGGCUCAGCUGCUGUCACAAAUACCCAUCUUAGGAUCCCACCAGCUUCCCACCCUCCACCAGAGAGCCGCAGUACCCUCACUUUCUCCCUAUUGUUCUUUCAAAUCCUGUUCUCAGGAAAGAAACUGCCACUAAUUCAUUCACACUAAAGUGUAAGUGAUUGAUAAUAGGAAUGAGUUACCUCUUCCCACAGACAUUUGUUUUUAACUAUGACAGAGCAGGGCCUUAAUCCCAAGGGAAAAGGCUAUGGCACUGGAGGGGGUGAGCUUUCUGGGUAGAAGGAGACGUCCUGAUUUUCCUUAAGACCCAGUAAGAGUAAGACGUCUUGCUUUGGAAGGUCUGCUCCACCAUCUAAGAGCACUGGUUUUUUGUUGUUGUUGUUGUUGUGUUUUUUUUUUUUACUGUCUCUGAGGGAAUAUAGUAAAAAUGCAUAUGCACGUGCAAUUUGCACAGCAGCAUUUCACCGAUUUUGGAAUGUAUUGGCUAAUGUAUUUCCUGGUCUUUAGAUGCAAACGAUUAAUAACACUAUCUUAUCUAAUAGUUUUUUGAGGGGUGCUUCUUGAUUAAGUAGGUAAUUUUGAACACCUCUUUAAAUACAGCUAGAAAAUAAAACCAAUUCGUAAAGCCACAUUUGCAUAUGAUGCCAGCCUCACGCAUUUGUAUAUCUCCAGAAAUUCAGGUAUGCCUCACCAAUUUGCCCGUCUUUAAUGAAAUCAUGUGUUAAAAUUUGCAUCACGUCGCCUUCCUAUGUAUGAUGAAACAAGGAACAGAGGUUUCCAAUUGCUCUUUUGUCUUCAGACAUUUAGUAAUAUAAAGUACCUAUUUUUAUGCUGAAAUGUUUAUACAGGUUUAUUAAUAGCAAGUGCUACUAACUGGCGGCAUGCCUUGCAACACAUUUUGAUAUAUUAGCCAUGCUUCCGGGUAAAGGCAAGCCCCAAACUCCUUAUCUUUUGCAGUCUCUCUGGGAUCAGUAAAAGAAAAAAAAA
rnacentral:lncRNA from 1 species